UCAGCUCGAAGCCGUCUUCUAGGACCCCUCCCUACCUUGACUUUUGUUUCGAUGGGUGGUUGCGCCUCUAUAGCCCGAAUUUCUCGUGGCCUCUUGCACGCCCUAGGUCAGUUGUGUCCCUAGCCAUGAGUCUAACCCAAGCAUGUCGAUAGGAUCGAAACGAACACUGCACCCUGUUUCCGGAGAAAUCGUAAUGAACUCCGCACAACUAGAAUAGAUCCUAGUACUAUACUCACUUAUAUAUAUCCUUGCUCUCGUGUCCUCCUGAGUCAUCGCGUCGAGGGAACUAAUGCCAUAGCCACGAGUUCAUCAACGAAGGAUGAGAUCGAGUGCCACCGUAGUGGGUUCUCAGCCUCGCCAAGGAUGGAGGCCACGACUGCGCGACUGCUGGUUAGUUGCAUCCCCAUUUAUUGGCAGUACUCCGUACGUGUUUAGUGCGUGGACGAUCAUGUGGUAGGGCACUAGAGCGUGGGGCGGGUGAUCGUCGGAGCUUCACCGUCGUGCAGGCUCUGCACCGCCGCCCUGUUGAUGUCGAAAGAUGGGAGGAAGGUAGAAUAUGGCCACAUCUAGAUCCCAUGCCCAUUAAUUCUUUAUGUGACCCGAUCUAACUCAUAUCACUUAUUUUUGUGUGACCCUACUAAUUUAUUAAAAAUAUGAUAUCUUUUGGAUAAAAUAAUUUAUUUUAGUCUAAGUUGUGCUAUGUUCAUAUUAAUUUGGCGUACGUAAUAAUAACAUUGUUUUAAUUAGUUAAUUACUUAUUUAAUUAAUGUUAAUUAACUAGAUAAUAUUGUUAAUCUAAUUUAUAGUUCUAACCUACACAUUUUAUAAAUAAUCGUUCAACUAAAAUAUUUUAAUUUAAUACCUGCUUGGUUUAAAUGCAAUAUCUGUUAGAUCUCAUCUAUUAGAUUUAUUGUUUCUAAAAUAUCAUUUUAUCCAUAAAUGCUUUGUUUAGUUCCGAUUUUAAUGGUUCUCGGACCUAUGAUCUUGUAGCGACGCGUAGAAUAUUUUUACGCAGUUUGUUCUUAUGCUUUGGUGUAAUGUUGCCAUAUCCAUUAUUUGCUUGAUUGUAUGUAUUGCUACGAGUAUAGGCGAGGUGACUAUGAAUCUUGAGGCCCAACUUUUGGUGUAGCAUUUGGACUAAAAGGUUAUCACAAGUAUAAGGCAAGUUGUGCUCUGAAAGGGAAAUGACCUUAAACCAUUUCUUACAUUCUAGUGCUUGAUGACCUUCACAACCAUUCAGACUAAUUAGUUUGCCUAGUCUCUGAUUCACAGGUUCAUAAGAUCAACAAUUUAGUUUCUAAGUCACAAUUAGCUCAGUUUCAAUCAAAUAGGGUUCACAGGAUGCAAAGAUGGUUGGAAUAAGGUAAUAGGGAUGCAACACUUCAAAAGAAGACAUAAAAAGAAACAGAGAAGUCCAAGACUCAAGAACAAAAGAAGCCCAAAAGAAUCAGCGAAGAAAUCCAAGAAAAAAGGCAGUCAACCAGCACACUGGUGGUGCACCGGACAGUGAACAACAACAUGUCCGGUGCGCACCGAACUAUCCGAUGGGACACCGGGUAUUCUGCGCAGAGAGGCCCACAACGGGGGCUUUCAGGUUGUGGCACCGAACUGUCCGGUGUGCACCAAACAAUCUAGCAACGGUUGGAUCCAACGGUCGACUGCCGCAGACCUCAACGGUCGACUAACGUGGCUUGGGCACCGGGCAGCGAAUAGUGCAUAUCCGGUGUGCACCAGACUGUCCGGUGGGAUAACCAGACAGUCUGCGCAGAGGGGCCCAUAGACAGGAACCUCAGGCUGUAGCACCAGACUGUUCGAUGUGCACCGGACAGCCUGGGUAACGGUCAGAUCCAACGAUCGACUGCUACAGACCCCAACGGUCGGCUGAUGUGGCAGACACCGAACAGUGAACAGUGCUCUAUCUGGUGUGCACCGGACUGUCUGGUGCGUCUGUCGAUAGAAAGCUACUGUUUUCUGUCCAACCGCUAGAAAUGAGGUUGGGGCCUAUAAAUACCAUGCCAACCGGUCAUUUCAAGGUGUGGGAGCCUAAGCAACAUAUCAAGGCAUAUAGUAGACAUAUCCAAGCCAUCCCAACCGCCUCCAUUCAUUGAUCUAUCUCAUACACAAGAGUUGGGUAUUCCAUACACAUCAAAGCCUCACAAGUGCCACAAAAGAGAGAUCAAGCAAGAAAGAGCUACUCGUGUGUUUAGUGAUAGUGGCUUGUGAGAAUCAUUGAGAGAAAGUGUGUGCUACCACUUGUGAUCAUUUGAGCGUGGAGUUUCGACUCCCAUUUAUUGUAAAGCUAGCAAGAGCCCCUUAUCUUUGCGGUUGGCCUUGCGGAGACUUCGGUCUUUUGUUGACAAAGAAGAAGGAACACUCGUCGGUCUUGAUAACCAUUGGAGAGAGGGAAAGGGUUGAAAAAGACCCGUCCUUAGUGGACUCCUCAACAGGGAUUAGGUUCUUGGUGAACCGAAUCUCGGUAAAACAAAUCACCCGGGUCACUUGUGUUUAUUGCUUGUGAUUUGUUUGUCUUCUCCCUCUCUAAGUUCUCUUGCACUAUUCUUUGUUGUUACUGCUUUGUAUUGCUUCGGGUUAAAUUCUCAUAUAUAGAUGCAACACCUUGCAAGAAAGAACUUGCGAAUUUCCUCUUCUUAUCUAAGCCCUCUUGCUUCAUUCUCCAUAAACAUUUUAGUUGAGUUGCCUUUUGUUAAUUCCACAUUCUUUGAAAGCAAUACUCUUUGCAAGCAAAGGACUUAGUUUUAUACUCUGAUAAUUGUUCAUCUUGUUCUAACCACUAAUCGAGGGAUCAAUUCCGGGUUUAAAGAUAUAAUUUUUAGGUUUCGCCUAUUCACCCCCUCGAGGCGACUUUCAUGCCCUUGAUCACUCUUCUUUACCUAAUAAUGUUCUCGGAUAAUCGACAUGCUUAGGUUAAUUUGAUGGGACCCAAUAGGUUUCACUAGUUUUGUUUACCCCACACCUUGCAGACAAAUGAACUAUUGGGUAGACUUGCUAUUGCUCUACCUGGUUUUGAGAUUAAAGUUACAUAUGAAUUAUUAUCAUGUUCCAAUUUUGCUGUUGUUUUAAUUAUUGUUUAUGACAAGAUUAUUGUGUUAAUUGGAACAUGGAGCUUAACUUGAGAUAACAGUGCUACCACAAGGGUAGAAUGGGACACCCUUGGCCAAGUAAUUAGGAAAACUAGGGAGAGAUUAGCUUACCCGAAAGGGGCAAGCGAGGAGGCGUCACUGCAGAGUAUAGGGAGGUCCUCGGGUCGAACUACUGCGAUGGCUUUUCGGACGAGAGAUUCCUAUGCUUCCUUCUUCUUGAAUCUGUAACGGGUAUUCUCGAACUAAUAAUGGAACUUUCGAAUGACCUCGCAGUGGAUCCCUAGCCAUUCACCUUGGAAGUGUCUAAGGGUCUAGCUAACCCUGACUAAUCGGGAAACACGUUUUGUAGGUAAAGAUGUGCAGCCUCUGCAAAGUGUAAAACUGGUAUAUCAGUCCUGCUCACGGUCAAGAGCGACUCAGGACUCUCGCAUGAUUAACUUAUGAAACUAAACUUAAUCUGCCAUAUGCAUUGGCAUUGUGGGUUUUAUUAUUAAUUAUGAUCUCUUAUUUAAUUGGGUUGGUAUCUACUUAUACUUAGUAACUGCUAAUAAAACUUUGGCCAACUUUAAAAACAAUGCUCAGCUUUAACCAUUUUCUUUGGUAAGCCUUACACUUCACAUGAGCCCCUCCAAGUAUACUCAUGCAUAUUAUUCCCCUACAACUUAUUGAGCGAUGAACGUAUGUGAGCUCACCCUUGUUGUACUCACAUCCCCGUAGGUCAAGGACAGAUACUACAAGAUGAGGAACAUGAAGGAUGUCGCAAUGAGUUUGUGAGAGGUUUAGACCGUCGUCUCCAAGUCAACUUUGGUUGUUGGAUCGUUGUCUUCGUAUGAUGUAAUUAUUUAACUAUUUUUGUACAGA
rnacentral:lncRNA from 1 species